rnacentral:piRNA from 1 species
UCAGUACAGAAAUGUGGAUGUGGAGC